UACGAAGGGGGCUAGCGUUGCUCGGAAUUACUGGGCGUAAAGCGCACGUAGGCGGCUUUCUAAGUCGGGGGUGAAAUCCUGGAGCUCAACUGCAGAACUGCCUUCGAUACUGGAGAGCUUGAGUCCGGGAGAGGUGAGUGGAACUGCGAGUGUAGAGGUGAAAUUCGUAGAUAUUCGCAAGAACACCAGUGGCGAAGGCGGCUCACUGGCCCGGUACUGACGCUGAGGUGCGAAAGCGUGGGGAGCAAACAGG
rnacentral:rRNA from 1 species